AACAAUAAUUUUAUGUCAUAAAAAUAAAAUCAAUUAAAAAAAGUGUGUUAAAAUGGACCAUUUAGAAUAAAUAAUUAAAAUAAAAUAUUAAUAUUAAAAAAUAAGAAAAUAAAAUUUUUAUAAAAUUAAAUAAAACGUUAAGAAAAGUAAAAAAUAUUUUUGGGUAAUUUUAUGGACGAAGAAAAUAUUUUAAAUAAGAAAAA
rnacentral:lncRNA from 1 species